CCUUAUACAGGGGGAUAACAGUCAGAAAUGGCUGCUAAUACCGCAUAAGCGCACAGAGCUGCAUGGCUCAGUGUGAAAAACUCCGGUGGUAUAAGAUGGACCCGCGUUGGAUUAGCUAGUUGGUGGGGUAACGGCCCACCAAGGCGACGAUCCAUAGCCGGCCUGAGAGGGUGAACGGCCACAUUGGGACUGAGACACGGCCCAGACUCCUACGGGAGGCAGCAGUGGGGAAUAUUGCACAAUGGGGGAAACCCUGAUGCAGCGACGCCGCGUGAAGGAAGAAGUAUCUCGGUAUGUAAACUUCUAUCAGCAGGGAAGAUAGUGACGGUACCUGACUAAGAAGCCCCGGCUAACUACGUGCCAGCAGCCGCGGCAAUACGUAGGGGGCAAGCGUUAUCCGGAUUUACUGGGUGUAAAGGGAGCGUAGACGGUGUGGCAAGUCUGAUGUGAAAGGCAUGGGCUCAACCUGUGGACUGCAUUGGAAACUGU
rnacentral:rRNA from 1 species